rnacentral:lncRNA from 1 species
AGCGGAAGGUGGGAGCGACGACUGCAAAACGGCAGCGAUGGGCUCCCGCAACCUCCGGAGCUUGUGCGCGUACUUCAGGGACCGGCACCACGUCACCGUCACCUCCUGAGUAUCUGAAAAUUCAAAAGAGAAGCAAUUUAAAGGACUUCCAUUUACUUCUUUCCCCUCUAAUCUGCACAAAAGGUUAAAUGUAGCAGUGCAGCAGUUCUGGCCAUCAAAAUAUGAUUAUUGUACUUUAAAAGCAGCCAUGAGAACUCUGCUCUUUGAUAGACUUCAACUUGCAACAACUAAGGAAUAAUCCAGUUCCAGAGGAGAUUAGGAGUUGGGUGAGAGGAUAGACUCUAAUCUUAGAGAAAUAAGACUUAGUUAUUACCAGGAACAGAUGACCAGUUGCAAGAACUGUCACUAUUUUAACAUUCUCCAUCAGCUGUGGCCAUGUUGGAUUUCUGGCACCUGAGCAUUCACAUCCAUCUGUUUAUAGGGCAUUAUGCCCACUCAUGAGGUUUAUUCCAGUUUCAAAAAGUCAUGUGUAAACCAAGAUUGGAAAUAUAUAUUCCUUGAGAAAUAGAGACACAGACACACAAGGGAGAGUGCCAUAUGAAAAUGGAGGCAGAAUGGAGUGAUGCAUCUACAAGCCAAGGAACACCAAAAAUUGCCAGCAACUACUAGAAGCUAGAAGAGGCAAGAAAGGACUUUCUAGAGCCUUUGGAAAGCAUGAUUCUGCCACAUCUUGAUUUUGGACUUCCAGCCUCUAGAACUGUGAGAGAGUAAGUUUCCAUUGUUUUAAACCACCCAAUUUGUAUUAAUUUGUUAUAGAAGCCCUGGGAAACAAAUAAACUACUUUAGAUCAGUUAGGAAGGCUUCUUGAACUAUAUGACAUUUAAACAGAGACAUAAAUGAUGAGACUGUCCCAGCCAAGUUAAAAAUAUCACUGGGAAUCAAACUCACUGGUGUUAUUCCAGCUCAGUGGUAAAUGUUCUACUGGUAUUUUAAAUAAUUCUAAAAUAAAGUCAUUAUUUUUCUUUGCA